rnacentral:tRNA from 1 species
AAAAUCCGUUGGCUUUAUAGACCGUGAGGGUUCAAGUCCCUCUACCCCCAUGGAGAGAAAAGA